rnacentral:rRNA from 1 species
GAUGAACGCUGGCGGCGUGCCUAAUACAUGCAAGUCGAGCGAACAGACAAGGAGCUUGCUCCUCUGACGUUAGCGGCGGACGGGUGAGUAACACGUGGAUAACCUACCUAUAAGACUGGGAUAACUUUGGGAAACCGGAGCUAAUACCGGAUAAUAUAUUGAACCGCAUGGUUCAAUAGUGAAAGACGGUUUUGCUGUCACUUAUAGAUGGAUCCGCGCCGCAUUAGCUAGUUGGUAAGGUAACGGCUUACCAAGGCGACGAUGCGUAGCCGACCUGAGAGGGUGAUCGGCCACACUGGAACUGAGACACGGUCCAGACUCCUACGGGAGGCAGCAGUAGGGAAUCUUCCGCAAUGGGCGAAAGCCUGACGGAGCAACGCCGCGUGAGUGAUGAAGGUCUUCGGAUCGUAAAACUCUGUUAUUAGGGAAGAACAAAUGUGUAAGUAACUAUGCACGUCUUGACGGUACCUAAUCAGAAAGCCACGGCUAACUACGUG